rnacentral:rRNA from 1 species
AUGUACAUUCCUAUAGCAUAGUGUUAAUGCACCAUAGCCCAUUAGAGAUUUGCAGUUAAGCACACCUAGGAUAUAGUAGUAUUGGGAUGGGUGACCACCCGGGAAGUCCUAGUAUUUUACAUG